GGCUCAGAGUGAACGCUGGCGGCAGGCCUAAUACAUGCAAGUCGAACGGCAGCACAGCAGAGCUUGCUCUGUGGGUGGCGAGUGGCGGACGGGUGAGGAAUACGUGGGAAUCUGCCCAGUCGUGGGGGAUAACGUAGGGAAACUUACGCUAAUACCGCAUGCGCCCUUCGGGGGAAAGCCGGGGACCUUCGGGCCUGGCGCGAUUGGAUGAGCCCACGUCGGAUUAGCUAGUUGGCGGGUAAAGGCCCACCAAGGCGACGAUCCGUAGCUGGUCUGAGAGGAUGAUCAGCCACACUGGAACUGAGACACGGUCCAGACUCCUACGGGAGGCAGCAGUAGGGAAUAUUGGACAAUGGGCGCAAGCCUGAUCCAGCCAUGCCGCGUGAGUGAAGAAGGCCCUCGGGUUGUAAAGCUCUUUUGUCCGGAAAGAAAAGCGCCGGGUUAAUACCCUGGUGUCCUGACGGUACCGGAAGAAUAAGCACCGGCUAACUUCGUG
rnacentral:rRNA from 1 species